rnacentral:rRNA from 1 species
CAGUUAGAAAUGACUGCUAAUACCGCAUAAGCGCACAGUAUCGCAUGAUACAGUGUGAAAAACUACCGGUGGUACAAGAUGGACCCGCGUCUGAUUAGCUAGUUGGUAAGGUAACGGCUUACCAAGGCGACGAUCAGUAGCCGACCUGAGAGGGUGACCGGCCACAUUGGGACUGAGACACGGCCCAAACUCCUACGGGAGGCAGCAUG